rnacentral:rRNA from 1 species
AUUGAACGCUGGCGGCAGGCCUAACACAUGCAAGUCGAACGGUAACAGGAAGAAGCUUGCUUCUUUGCUGACGCGUGGCGGACGGGUGAGUAAUGUCUGGGAAACUGCUUGAUGGAGGGGGAUACCUACUGGAAACGGUAGCUAAUACCGCAUAACGUCGCAAGACCAAAGAGGGGGACCUUCGGGCCGCUUGCCAUCGGAUGUGCCCAGAUGGGAUUAGCUAGUAGGUGGGGUAACGGCUCACCUAGGCGACGAUCCCUAGCUGGUCUGAGAGGAUGACCAGCCACACUGGAACUGAGACACGGUCCAGACUCCUACGGGAGGCAGCAGUGGGGAAUAUUGCACAAUGGGCGCAAGCCUGAUGCAGCCAUGCCGCGUGUAUGAAGAAGGCCUUCGGGUUGUAAAGUACUGUCAGCGGGGAGGAAGAGAGUAAAGUGAAUACCUUCACUCAUUGACGGUACCCGCAGAAGAAGCACCGGCUAACUCCGUG